GUUCUACCUUGACGAAUUGUAGUUUAAAGAAGUGUUUUCUGUUAGAGGAGUAGCAAAAGUUCCUUGGAAUGGGACAUCAUAGAGGGUGAGAAUCCCGUAUUUGGUUACUUCUUCUAGCUUUGUGAUACACUUUCAAAGAGUCGGAUUGUUUGGGAAUGCAGUCCAAAAUGGGUGGUAAAUUUCAUCUAAAGCUAAAUAUUGGCGAGAGACCGAUAGCGAACAAGUACCGUGAGGGAAAGAUGAAAAGAACUUUGAAAAGAGAGUUAAACAGUACGUGAAAUUGUCAAAAGGGAAGCGUUUGACACCAGUGUUGUUUUUCCGAAAAUCAAUUAAGAACGGCUUGAUUUUGUGUUGUAUUGACCUUAUCAGCUUUCUUCACUCUUUUUCGAGUCUUUCUU
rnacentral:rRNA from 1 species